rnacentral:lncRNA from 1 species
CCGAAACGGCCGCUACUCGUUAACUCGCUUUUCUUUUCCUCGCAUCUUAUCCUGACUCUCUGUCGCUUGAUUCCAUAAGAAUUCCAAACGGUCGUAUAUAUUUAUCUGAAUUUCUAUCUUUGUAGACACAAUCGGAGGAACAGCACAUCAACCCCUAUUUGUUUUAUUUCCAUGUUUUAUACGAUUUUGCACGUUGCGAGAAUUCUGUGCAGCUUUGCAUCUUUAAAUGACACAUAGAGUCCAAGUUACAUGGUUACAUGACUGUAGCUCCUUUUUGCUAUGGAAUGUUCCACAAAUUAGGAUAAUGGGGUUUGGAAGAAGUUGCGACGAUCAGGACAUGUUUGGAAUUUUAGAAUCCAAUUUACAUGAUGUUUGGUGUGGCUGAUUUGCGUCGUUGAAUAUUUCACAAACUGGAGAUGUUAGUGCGAAUUUUCAGGAAAUUGACGUAAUUAAGAGAUAUGGGAGUUGGUAGAGGAUAUUGGACAUUAGUCUAUUACUGCUUAUUGCUGUGCAACUUUUGACAAGUUGAGAUUAUUAAUGUCAUCAAUGUCGCUUCUAUCAAUGAAUCGUAAGAAAAUUGGAUGUGAGGUAGUAGAACUCUUGUUUCAUGGCUGCUUCUGUUACCGCCUGAUAAGUAGUCUAAUAGAUCUUAUUCUAUGACUAUUUCUAUUGUAAUCUGACAAGAAAGUAUUAAUAAGGAAAUUAAGACGAAACUUGAUGCUAUACGAAGAAGAACAAUGUAAAAGAAUUUUAUAUGAACAAACGAUAUGAAAGAAACACAAAUUUCGAACAAUCUUGCUCUUUGUACCUGAUCCUCGCUAGGAUCAUCGUCUCUAACUAAAAUCUAGGUCAGUUACAUUGAAAAAGUUGUAAUACAAAUGACAAAAAAAAAGAGCAAAUUCCUUUUUCUUUAAAGAACCAUCUUUUUCUGCAAAUAUCCAUUUUGCUAGGAAUAAUUUGGUGUCUAACGAUAGAUGGUGUGUAAAAGAUGCUGCAAACAUUGAGAUAACAAUCGGCAUACUUCGGAAACGUAAUAUUUACGGCAGGAGAAAGAGAGAUAUUCGCCACGGGAACGUUAGAGAAAUAUACAAGAAGAUGGGCCACGAUUUUGUAACACCGUAGUAACGGCGUGGAUUUUUAGAAAGAAACCGGAACGCAGCGAGAAUAUAUCUAUAAACGAGCCGAGAGAGCAAUGAAAGUCGAAGCCUAAUGAAAACGAAGAAAUCUUUCAAAGAAGUAACUACAUAUAUUAAGAGACUAUAAUUCAGAAAAAUCUUAAGACCAAGAAAUUCCAAUUGAAGGAAGAAAAUCCAACACACAGUCAGUAUAGGACAACAUGGAAGAACUAACUAGCCACUUGGAAUAGAGAAGAAAAAUGACGUUUCAAGAGAAGCUUGAUAACUACACAUUUAUAAAAAAUUUCAAUAUGCAGAAGUGUACAAAGUUCAUAUACUGUACGAAAAUAUCGAGAAUCAUGCUCAAAAUAUCAAAAGCGAAGUAGCUGUCGUAUUAUUUCAAAUGAUACGGAUACAAAAUUCUACUUUGGUUCCACUCCUUUACACCUGUUCGUAAAGAUACAAAUUUACUUAAAAAUCCACAGUCCAUUGGGUUGGCAACUAAGUGAUUGAGGAUUUUGUCAUUAGAUGGUAUUGAUACUAAUAAUAAUAAUACAAAUUCCAUAUAGAGAUCUGAAUUUAAAUUAAUCCUGAAGAGGAGAACUUUCAAGAAGCAACAUCAAAGUAUGAAGCAACCAGCUCAAACGAUAAAUCUUAAAAGAAAGCUUCCAGACAAAUAAGUGAAUACAUUAAGAGUGAAUAAUUAUAUAAAUUUUGAGGAGGAGAAAUUCCAAGGGCUGAGACAGUUGGACGAAAAGAGUCCAGCACAAUGGCUUCCUGAAUGCUGAGCUUGCGUGGGCGUAACCGCGGUGCGAUCAUAUACUCGGCGAGCUUUUUACAUAAAGCCACGUGCACGCAUAUAAGUCUUUCUAAAAAUAGAAAUUUGAGCAAGAUACUAUUAAUAGUGGAUGAGUGUGUUGCCACAGUGGAUGUGUACGUGGCUCUCACUCGAUUUUGCUCGCUGCUCGUUACCGACCAGCUUUUCGGAAAGACCGCCCCUAACCAAAUGAAAGAAAAACGCAAUUCGAUCCUUAGCCACCAUUAGCCCAUUUUCGCGCCGAAAUAAAAGUCCAUCCAGCCUUCCUCCUAUAGUUUCGACCUUGUUCGUCAUUUCAUCGUACGAGACACCAAAAUUAUAAAUUUCAUCCUUUCGAUAUGAACAUCGAGAAUGAUAAGCAUAAACGUCGAAUUUUCCUGGAUUUUUCUGAUGUUCGAUCGAUGUUCCGAUGAUGUUCUAUUGCUCGAUAAUUGAAGACAAGAAUAAUAUUUGCCAAAGUCGAAGAAGUGACAGGAAAAAUUAUUUUUUUUUUUUGUAAACGACUCAAGAUAUUUUUGAUAUUGCCAGAAGGAUGAGGAGUUAAAGAUUUAUUCUUCGCUUGAAUUGCAUUUAUGAUUUUGCUCGAGUUUAAAUAUUUGUUAAAUAAAUAGGUAAUUAAGCAAAAAUACGCGACGGAAAAUUCGCCAUCACGAUUUUCGAAUUAGAAAUAAACCGUAGUAUUUUAUUUUAGAUAGAAAGUUGAGUCAUAAUUUUUACUUAGACCAGUUUAUGAUCUCGCUUCUUUUUCGUUUCUUUC